rnacentral:rRNA from 1 species
CCAAGGAGUCUAACAUGUGUGCGAGUCGUAGGGAAAGUCUGAUAUGAAACCCGAAGGCGUAAUGAAAGUGAAGGUUGACUUAUUGUUGACCAAGGCGGGAUCCAUUCGAGCUUAACGGUUCGGCCGAGCUUGGUGGCGCACCGCCGGCCCGUCUCAACCGCAACGCCGGUGAGGCGGAGCAAGAGCAUACACGUUGGGACCCGAAAGAUGGUGAACUAUGCCCGGGCAGGACGAAGCCAGAGGAAACUCUGGUGGAGGUCCGUAGCGAUUCUGACGUGCAAAUCGAUCGUCGGACCUGGGUAUAGGGGCGAAAGACUAAUCGAACCGUCUAGUAGCUGGUUCCCUCCGAAGUUUCCCUCAGGAUAGCUGGCGCUCGGAUGUAACGCAGUCUCAUCCGGUAAAGCGAAUGAUUAGAGGCCUUGGGGCCGAAACGACCUCAACCUAUUCUCAAACUUUCAAUGGGUGAGAAGUCCGGCUUGCUCGACUGAAGCCCGGACGUCGGAUGCGAGUGCCCAGUGGGCCACUUUUGGUAAGCAGAACUGGCGCUGUGGGAUGAACCAAACGCCGGGUUACGGCGCCCGAUGCGGACGCUCAUCAGACCCCAUGAAAGGUGUUGGUUGCUAUUGACAGCAGGACGGUGGCCAUGGAAGUCGGAA